UACAGAGGGGGCAAGCGUUGUUCGGAAUUACUGGGCGUAAAGGGCGCGUAGGCGGCCUGUUAAGUCGGACGUGAAAUCCCUCGGCUCAACCGGGGAACUGCGUCUGAUACUGGCGGGCUUGAAUUCGGGAGAGGGAUGUGGAAUUCCAGGUGUAGCGGUGAAAUGCGUAGAUAUCAGGAAGAACACCGAUGGCGAAGGCAGCUCUCUGGGACGGUACUGACGCUGAGACGCGAAAGCGUGGGGAGCGAACAGG
rnacentral:rRNA from 1 species